rnacentral:rRNA from 1 species
AAACGACUCUCGGCAACGGAUAUCUCGGCUCACGCAUCGAUGAAGAACGUAGCAAAAUGCGAUACUUGGUGUGAAUUGCAGAAUCCCGUGAACCAUCGAGUUUUUGAACGCAAGUUGCGCCCGAAGCCUYUGGCYGAGGGCACGUCUGCCUGGGCGUCACGCA